UACAGAGGUCCCGAGCGUUGUUCGGAUUCACUGGGCGUAAAGGGUGCGUAGGUGGUGAGGUAAGUCGGAUGUGAAAUCUCCGGGCCUCAACCCGGAAACUGCAUUGGAAACUACCUUGCUUGAGGGUUUGAGGGGGGACUGGAAUUCUCGGUGUAGCAGUGAAAUGCGUAGAUAUCGUGAGGAACACCAGAGGCGAAGGCGGCUUCCUGGACAAUUGCUGACGCUCAGGCACGAAAGCGUGGGGAGCAAAAGGG
rnacentral:rRNA from 1 species